rnacentral:rRNA from 1 species
AUUGAACGCUGGCGGCAGGCCUAACACAUGCAAGUCGAACGAGUAGAGGACGGGUGAGUAAUGUCUGGGAAACUGCAUGAUGGAGGGGGAUAACUACUGGAAACGGUAGCUAAUACCGCAUACCAUCGGAUGUGCCCAGGUGGGAUUAGCUAGUAGGUGGGGUAACGGCUCACCUAGGCGACGCUCCCUAGCUGGUCUGAGAGGAGGACCAGCCACACUGGAACUGAGACACGGUCCAGACUCCUACGGGAGGCAGCAGUGGGGAAUCUUGCACAAUGGGCGCAAGCCUGAUGGAGCCACGCCGCGUGUAUGAAGAAGGCCUUCGGGUUGUAAAGUACUUUCAGCGGGGAGGCGUUACCCGCAGAAGAAGCACCGGCUAACUCCGUGCCAGCAGCCGCGGUAAUAC